UGUUGAACUUCUCUGAAGAAAGGGCAACAAUGAUUGCAGCUGUGGAUUUGCAGGAAUUUGUUCCUUUCGGUCGAGACCACUGCAAACACCACCCUAUGCUUUGAACCUUCAGCUUCAGCAGCUGCAGCCAGCCUCUGAGCUGUGGUCGUCUGAUGGUGCUGCUGGCUUGGUGGGAUCCCUGCAGGAGGUUACACUCCACGAAAAACAGAAGGAAAGCUGGCAGCUAAGGAGAGGCGGAAGUGAAAUUGGAGAUGUGGAUUAUGACAAGGAACUCAAUGUGGCUGGAAAUAUGGUGAUAUGGAGCAAAGGAAGUACAAGCCAGGCCUUUACAAGGCCUUUACAGUUAAUAGUCCUGUUCAAAAGUGUGGUGAGAGUCAGGGGACUGGCUCUGAAGGAAGGAUUUCUCAAAGAAGUUGCUGAUUGAACUGGAAGUUGGGAAAAGAAGGGCAUUCUAGGCAGAGGGA